CCUACGGGUGGCAGCAGUGAGGAAUAUUGGUCAAUGGACGAGAGUCUGAACCAGCCAAGUAGCGUGAAGGAUGACUGCCCUAUGGGUUGUAAACUUCUUUUAUAUGGGAAUAAAAUGUUCCACGUGUGGGAUUUUGUAUGUACCAUAUGAAUAAGGAUCGGCUAACUCCGUGCCAGCAGCCGCGGUAAUACGGAGGAUCCGAGCGUUAUCCGGAUUUAUUGGGUUUAAAGGGAGCGUAGGUGGAUUGGUAAGUCAGUUGUGAAAGUUUGCGGCUCAACCGUAAAAUUGCAGUUGAAACUGGCAGUCGUGAGUACAGUAGAGGUGGGCGGAAUUCGUGGUGUAGCGGUGAAAUGCGUAGAUAUCACGAAGAACUCCGAUUGCGAAGGCAGCUCACUGGACUGCAACUGACACUGAGGCUUGAAAGUGUGGGUAUCAAACAGGAUUAGAUACCCGUGUAGUC
rnacentral:rRNA from 1 species